AGUUCUUAAAAUUGUGGCGGUUCCAAUUGUUAAAAAUAGGCGCUUAUUUUGAAUCUUCCCAAAUUACUCUGGACAAAAUUACUCUGAUCUCGCCCUCUCUUUCACUCCGUCUCGCGUAGCCUUCCUCCCGACUGCACCCAGUCAGCCUCCUCCUCAUCCUUCCUCCUCACCCUCUCCCGUAGCCUUCCUCCUCGCCUUCCGAACAACCUCCAAGCCCCAACAGUUCUCCCACGACGACGAGGACUCCGAUUCCGAUUGCGUCGAGAUUAAACACGAACUAGAGGACGACGCCACCGAUUGCGUCGUUAUUAAGAACAAAUUGGAGGACGACGAUGCGGACGAGGUUUAAUGGAAAAUAAAUGGUAUUUGCACAUUGCAAUCUGACCAAGUUCUUCCGCCGCUUUCACCCCCUUCGCUCUCUCUCUCUCUUCGAUAGCUUUGAGAGAAGAAGACUAAAAAGGCAUUUUCAGCUUGAAGAAUCUCUCUCUAUCCUUGUGGGAUUGUAUUUCUGCAAAUCUUAGUUAGGUUUAUGGAUAUGAGAUACAAAAUUGGACCGUGGGAAUCAGCCAAGAAAGUCGUCGUAUCUCCUGCAAUCUUUUCGAAGUAUCAGCCGUCGGAUCGAUUAACGCCUUGGUGUGUUCUUCCCAGAUAACACCCAGUUCUCGGAUUUCAUAUUUAUAUAUAAAGGAAGUUUUAUAUUCUAUAUAUGUUCAUUAGGUGGAUGUCAAGGGAUCGAGCUAAGUCUGGUGGUUGGGCUGCCUUUGACCUCAAGUAGCGCCAGAAACAAGGCCUUGAGCCUUAAGUUGACAAGGAUCGUUUCCCACCUAUACCGACCAAUCUAACUUCUCUACAUCCUCGUGCAAACUUACCGAGGAAUAAUGACCUUCUGGGCAGGCCUUUUUCAACUCUACAUCUCCCAUCUGUAGAUUGUCCAACUUUGGCAGAGAAUAGGGUUGGGAAAAGGCCUUUAUUAGAUGGCGAUUCCAGUGGGAAACAGUACACUUCCGUGGAAGAUAAUACAUCUUCCAUGAAGAAGAUCAUGUAUUUUACCCUUGGGCUGACGAUUUCUUGAUUGAGGAUAUUAUGGUUGGUAUUGAUAAUGAUAUGGAUAAGGCCUCAAUUUUAUUGAAACAAUGGUUUCCCCUAGCAGCUGUGAAGAGAAUAACCGAACUAGCAUUUCAAAAAACAACUCCAGUUUAAAUGGACCGCCAUAAUUUUUAGAUUAAGUUCCUUGACUAGAAACAACUUUUAUUAAUUUUUAUAGAUUUUAGUUUUGUUGUUAAAUGACUCAUUGACUUGUGUGUUUCUGUUGUAGGAGCUUUGGUCUAUGCUAGAGUUUAUGAGCUCGUAUUGCAAAAACUUCAGAGGUUAACUCGAACAGUAUUCUUAAGGUUCUUCCUGGCAGAUCUCCAACUAUUUUGUUUAGUUUCGUAUGAUUGCAAAUCAUCCUUUACUAGUAAGGCGUAUUUACAGUGAUGAGGAUGUUGUUCGUUUUGCCAGAAAGUUACCUUAGACAAAGUAGUUGGGGAACUUAAGAAUUAUAGUGACUUCUCUAUCCAUUGGCUUUUGCUGUAUUAUGGUGUCUCUGAUAAGAAAUGAUUGCUUCAAGACAAAUAUGCAUUGCUUUCUUCAAAAUCUCAGCUAGCUGGGCAUCGUGUUUCAGCCAAUGGACGUCAAUGCUUGAUAUUUUGGAGUGGACUUUGUGUUACAUACAGACGACUUGAUGGAAGCACUCAGGUGACAGAAUGAUAGACGAUAAUUGAUACAUUCAAUAAUGGCACUUCUAUAUUUGCUUGCUUGCUGUCCACAAGAGCUGGAGAACAGGGUUUGAACUUGGUUGGAGCUGAUACCGUAGUUAUUCAUGAUAUGGAUUUCAACCCGCAAAUUGAUCGACAGGCAGAAGAUCAUUGUCAUUGCAUCGGCCAAGUGAAGGUUGUUACCAUAUACAGGCUAGUCACUAAGGGUACAAUUGAUGAAAAUGUCUACGAGAUUGCGGAAAGGAAGUAGUGCUAGAUGCUGCAGUCCUGGAAUUUGGCGUGGAGAUGGAUAAUAAAGGUGACACAUCCACCAUGAGAGAGAUAUUAUCGAAACUUUUUCUUGGUUAAAGAUUUUAGAAAACUUACAGUUGAUCUGCCGAUAGAGAAACUGCAAUUGGAAACCCUUGUAAUUUAGUUUUUGUAUUUUUCAAGUCACACCUUUGACCUCCCAACUGAUACCCAAUAGCUUGAUGUAUCAAACCUAGAAGACUACUUCUUGUAGUUUUUUUUUUGUUCGAACAUCUUGUAUGUAUAUUUUUAUAUAUAUUAUAAUUAAAUACUUUUUCUU